rfam:Medicago truncatula strain A17 chromosome 4, whole genome shotgun sequence.
AUGUAGUGUAGCAUGCCCGUUUGAUGAAUUACUCUGAUGAAUAUUUUGUAUUAAAUUACUUUUGGGUAACGGGGUGUUACAACUUGG